GAACCGUGCUAGAAAGGUCCUCUUUCUACCACGGUUAAGAGGUGAAUUUAUAUUAGCGGGUUUUACUGCCGCUGAUACUUUGAAUGCUUGUCCUCUCCAAAAAAAUAAAAUAAAAAAUAUAUAUAUUCAGUAGAGUGAUGGCGAGCGACUAGAUUAGGAAUGGCUAUGCCACGAUUCCCUCAAGCUGUAUCGAACGAAAACUCAGAGACAAAUCCACACACCCACACAAAAAAAACCACAUACAGUGCUGGUGGAUUAAAGCCCUAACCGGUGAAAAUGUUUUUCCCUCUCUCCAUCGAGCCUCUUUCAGUUGGCCAUCAGAGCAAACCCUAACCCCUAAAGAAAAAACCCUAAAUCUUGAAUCCUCCAUUAGAGACACGAAGGUGUGUUCGGCGAUUUGGAGACGACCGCUGCUGCUAGUUGGGCUAGAGGAGUUCAAUUUUUGAAGAGGAUGCAUACGAACAUGAUACUGAACCAAAAGACCGAAAAAUUGGGAAGCUUUAUGAAUAUGCUUUGAAAAAUCCAUUACGAAUACCAAAUAUUACUGAUUACCUUGAGCAUAGAUUUUAUAAGGAUUUGAGGAACGAGCAUUUUGGCUCCGUAAAAGUUGUGCUUUGCAUUUAUAGGAAAUUGCUAUCAUCAUGUAACGAGCAGAUAAUGUGCUUCAUCUUCAUUUUGGUGAGCUUUAAAUCUUGUUUGCAAAGUUUGUUUCCGAGAUCAAAGCUAGAAUUGCGGGUUGCUGUUGCCGUUACUUUUUUUGUUGCCGCUAUAUUUUUUGUAUGGCUCAUGAAGAAGUUGCAAGAAGAUACGAAGAAUUUUUGUUUUAUUUUAUUUUGGUUAAGUAAAUAUAUAAGGUGUGGAUCAUGUACUUAUUUGAAAUUUGUAUAUGGCUAAUUUUUGUAUAAAACAAUGAUUUAGAAUUGGUUUUAUAUAUAUAUGUGUGAUGUUAUUGGUCAGUUGUAAAA